AAGCAGAUGAAGAGGAAAGAACUGAGCAGCAGUAUUUCAGGAUUCUCAAUAAGGCAUCAAUGAAAAAAGGUCAAAACUGUGAUCCCUGCUACUUGGGAGGCUGAGACACAAGAAUUGCUUGAAUCCAGGAGGCGGAGGUUGCAGUGAACCAAGAUCAUGCCACUGAACUCCAGCCUGGGUGACAGAGCAAGAGUCUGUCUCAAAAAAAAAAAAAAGAAAAGAAAAAGAUAUUGCUUAGAAAAGUAACUUGAGUCCUGUUGAGCCUAAGUAAAGGACAAUAAUGGAAGUUUCUAGUCUGCAAAAUAUGAAGAUGCCCCUCAGAGACACAGCUGUGGGUGCCUCUCACAAGACAGAUGUUCAGGAAAACUGGGCUGUUGCUCUGGAAUUUUCAAUGAGUUAUUUUACUUGUUUUUGCCUCAGUUUACAGAAAAUAAACUGGCAACAAUAUCUCCUUGUUAUUGUGAGGAUAAAAUAAAAGGUGUGACAUUUCUAUUUUAAAUGUAUAAAAUGCCGAAAAAUUGGAGGCAACUGGAAGGUACAGUAGUGGAUGUGAGGUAGUAAGGGGGAAAAAAGGAUAUGUAAAUCACCUAAGAUGAAAUAGACAUUCAGAAGGCCGUAACGUGAAGUGUGAGUGACACUGAUUCGCUAAAAAUCCUAUAUAGUGUCUUAAAACAGCAGCAGUAACAACAACAAAGUUUAUUUGAGAGGAGGAAUUCUGGAAAAAAGCUUCUUUCAAAAAAAAAAAAAGAGUCUUCUAGUGCUCAGACAGUUCGUUCCUCUGCAAAGGCGGGUUACUCUGUUGGGGUCCAUUAUAGUUCUGAGGAUGAAUAGGACAGGACAAGGAGAUGGUUCCUGGCCCCUGUUCUCCUGCCACAGAUCUGUCCCACCUCCCAGGCUCCAUGCAUACAGUGACAGAGAUGGAAAGCCCAGAACCAGUCCCUUUAAUGCACUUAUUUGCAAAACAAGAUGUCACUAUGCAGCAGAGUGACAGUCCUUUCCCCUGGAACUGUCCCAGAGUUCUCCAAGCUGAAGCCAGGGCUACAUUCACCAUCUCAGACUCCUGCUGAGCUAAGUAACCACCCUCUCCUACCUUCUCUUCAGGAGCCCUGGCACCCUUGCUCUGGGGAGAGUUUGAAGAGCAACCUGAAAGUUCCCACAGUUUUUCCUCAAAUCUGGGUUUCCAUGAGCAUGGGCCACCAGUCGGGAGAGCCACAUGCCUGCCCUUGCCUGGCUCAAGACUGUCACUCUGUCAGAUUCAUAUCGCUCUCUGACCCUUAGCCUUCCAGUCUGGAUCUUGACCUUGAACUGGACUCUGUAGGAAGUUCUUAACAUUAAAGGAAGUUAUUUAUCUCUUUUCAACUAACCCAAGCACUUUCUAGCACCUUUUAGCAGUUUAAGCUCUAUGACUCCAUUGGAUAAAAUGCUGGGGAGCAGGACAUUGACACAGUCACAGAAUAUCACACACGGAAUCCUCAUUCAUUCCCCCAGGGAAACAGCACCUGUAGAAGACAAAUCUGGUAGACACUACUGUGACAGGUGAUUUUAUAUGUCAGCUUGACUAGGCCACAGGAUGUGUAGACAUUUGUCAAAUUUUUUUUUAUAUGUCUGUGAGGAUGUUUCUGGAUGAGAUUAACAUUGAAUCAGUAGACUGAGUAAAGAAGACCGCCCUCCCCAGUGGGGGUGUCCCUCAUCCAACCUGUGGAAGCCCUACAUAGAACAAAAAGGCUGAACCUCCCCCAAAAUACGGUGAUCUCAAGCUGCCUGACUUCUGGUGCUGGAACAUUGUUCUUUUUCUGCCUUCCGACUCAAACUGAAAAUCAGCUCAUCUUGUAUCCUGAGUCUGCUGGCUUCCAGACUGAACUAUACAUUGACUCUCCCAGGUUUCCAGCUUGCAACUGCUGGUCUUGGGACUUCUCAGCCUCCAUAAUCAUGCAUUAGCCAAUUUCUAUAUAGAUCUAGAAAUUCAUAUAUAUAUAUGUGUGUGUGUGUGUGUAUGUGUGUGUGUGUGUGUACGCAUAUAUAUACAGUCAUGAAUCACUGAGCAGUGGGCAUACCUUCUGAGAAAUGUGUCAUUAGGCACUGUUAUCAUUGUGUGAACAUCAUAGUGUACUUACACACACCUAGACGGUAUAGCCUACAACACACCUAGGCUAUAUAGUAUAACUUGUUGCUGGUAGAUUACAAACCUGUACAACCUGUUACUGUACUGAAUACUGUAGGCAAUUGUAAAACAAUGGUAAGUAUUUGUGUAUCUAAACAUAGCUAACCAUAGAAAAGGUACAGUAAAAAUACUGUAUAAGAGAUAAAACAUGGUGUGCCUGUAUAGGUUGCUUACCAUAAAUAAAGCUUGCAGGUUGGAAGUUACUCUGGGUGAGUCAGUGAGUAAAUGAUGAGUGAAUGUGAGGCCCUUGGACAUCACUGUACCCUACUGUAGACUUUAUAAACACUGUACACUUAGGUUACCCUAAAUCUAUUUUAAAAUUGUUUUCUUUCUUCAAUAAUAAAUUACCCUUAGCUUACUGUAACAUUUUUACUUGACAAACCUUUUAAUUUUUAAAAUUUUCUGACUGUUAUAAUAAUACUUAGCCUGAAAUACAAAUGAAUUGUCUA
ensembl:lncRNA LINC01923 long intergenic non-protein coding RNA 1923